UACGGAGGAUCCGAGCGUUAUCCGGAUUUAUUGGGUUUAAAGAAUGCGCAGGCGGGAGAUUAAGUCGGCGGUGAAAUUUUGCAGCUCAACUGUAAAAGUGCCUUCGAAACUGGUUUCCUUGAGUGUAGAUGAAGUAGGCGGAAUUUGUGGUGUAGCGGUGAAAUGCUUAGAUAUCACGAGGAACUCCGAUUGCGCAGGCAGCUUACUAAACUACUACUGACGCUCAGGCACGAAGGCGUGGGGAUCAAACAGGAUUAGAUACCCUGGUA
rnacentral:rRNA from 1 species